CUUUCUGAUAUUCAUGUCUUCUUUCUCUCUCCUCCAGGCGCACAAUGCAAUUCCACUCGACCCUGGUUACACGCGGGAUGAUUUAGAGGGUGCAUACCCUCCAUAUGGCUACCCUGACAUACCCAUGGAUGGUCUCCCUCUUGAACCAGAGAUACAUGAGCGCUACAUACCAGAGAUGACCUAUGACCCUCGACAGGUCUAUCCAGAGCCACUUUAAUACCACACCAAUGCAGAUCCAGUGAGUGAACUGGAGGAUGACUGACAAAAGACCAGGAGGCAGGGCUUAAGGGCAGGAGUCACUCAACAGUGUGGCAUUUCUACAAAACAGGGUUUGGCCAUACCCGUGAAGAGCAUAGAGAUGGAUAAACCUCCUUUGCUUCAGUUCACCACCAGUCUGUGUACAUGUGAUGUGAACUCAAAACACACAAAUGGCUUUUUUUGUUUGUUUGUUUGUUUGUUUGGUUGUUUUUUUUUGUUUGUUUGUUUGUUUGUUUAUUAUCUUGUGCAACUAACAGAGCUGAAAAGCCUAGAAUUAAUGGGAUAAGCAUGUAUUCAUAAUGUUUCAAUUUUGUACUUGGUAAAAUUGCUUGACAGAUGACAUCCAUAACAUAAAGUCUUAGAAAUGUAGCAUAGUUAGUUAGCCAUUUAGCGCUGGUAUAGCUCUCCAGCUUCCCUGGGAGUUCUUCAAGUCUGCAUCUCUGAGUCAGAUUAUCAGGGACUGUUCAAACUGUGGAAAAGCAAAUCAGUGUUCUAUACAACAAUAACAUCAGUAUAUUUCAUUAAUUCAUUAUUUGAUUAUUCA
ensembl:lncRNA